rnacentral:rRNA from 1 species
AGAUGGUGACCGGCGCACGGGUGAGUAACACGUAUCCAACCUGCCGAUAACUCGGGGAUAGCCUUUCGAAAGAAAGAUUAAUACCCGAUGGUAUAAUCAGACCGCACGGUCUUGCUAUUAAAGAAUUUCGGUUAUCGAUGGGGAUGCGUUCCAUUAGGCAGUUGGUGAGGUAACGGCUCACCAAACCUUCGAUGGAUAGGGGUUCUGAGAGGAAGGUCCCCCACAUUGGAACUGAGACACGGUCCAA